CUUGCUGUUGGUGGAUGAGUGGCGAACGGGUGAGUAACACGUGAGUAACCUGCCCCUGAUUUCGGGAUAAGCCUGGGAAACUGGGUCUAAUACCGGAUACGACCAAUCCUUGCAUGAGGGUUGGUGGAAAGUUUUUCGAUCGGGGAUGGGCUCGCGGCCUAUCAGCUUGUUGGUGGGGUAAUGGCCUACCAAGGCGACGACGGGUAGCCGGCCUGAGAGGGCGACCGGCCACACUGGGACUGAGACACGGCCCAGACUCCUACGGGAGGCAGCAGUGGGGAAUAUUGCACAAUGGGGGAAACCCUGAUGCAGCGACGCAGCGUGCGGGAUGACGGCCUUCGGGUUGUAAACCGCUUUCAGCAGGGAAGAAGCGAAAGUGACGGUACCUGCAGAAGAAGUACCGGCUAACUACGUGCCAGCAGCCGCGGUAAUACGUAGGGUACGAGCGUUGUCCGGAAUUAUUGGGCGUAAAGAGCUCGUAGGUGGUUGGUCACGUCUGCUGUGGAAACGCAACGCUUAACGUUGCGCGUGCAGUGGGUACGGGCUGACUAGAGUGCAGUAGGGGAGUCUGGAAUUCCUGGUGUAGCGGUGAAAUGCGCAGAUAUCAGGAGGAACACCGGUGGCGAAGGCGGGACUCUGGGCUGUAACUGACACUGAGGAGCGAAAGCAUGGGGAGCGAACAGGAUUAGAUACCCUGGUAGUCCAUGCCGUAAACGUUGGGCACUAGGUGUGGGGGACAUUCCACGUUCUCCGCGCCGUAGCUAACGCAUUAAGUGCCCCGCCUGGGGAGUACGGUCGCAAGGCUAAAACUCAAAGGAUUGACGGGGGCCCGCACAAGCGGCGGAGCAUGCGGAUUAAUUCGAUGCAACGCGAAGAAACUUACCAAGGCUUUGACAUACACUGGAACCGUUCUGGAAACAGUUCUUCUCUUUGGAGCUGGUGUACAAGUGGUGCAUGGUUUGUCCGUCAGCUCC
rnacentral:rRNA from 1 species